ensembl:lncRNA
AUGGAAAAUCAGUGUAAGCAAGGGUUUAAGUUGGAAAAACAAGAUCUUGAAAAACUGAAAGCAGUGCUGAAGCAAGAGAGAGGGGAUCUGGAUAGAGUGCAUGAGAUCAUGACCAAAGAAAGAUUGGACUUAGAGCUGAUGAGAUCUGAAAUUCAGGAACAAAGUAAAUUAUUAGAAAAGGAGAAAAAGGAGAUAAAAGAGGGAAGACACAAGUUGGACAGCACAAAAGCUGAGCUAGAAAAGAAGAAAGAACAUGCAGACAGUCUGUUUGAUGAGAUAGACACAGAGAAGGCCAACAUUAAACAUCUGACCCUUCAAGUUCAGACAAAAAGAAACCAACUUGAACAUGUCAUGAACAUGAUAACCUUAAAACAACAAGAACAAGAACUCAAGGAAGAUGAGUUAACAAAACGAAAACAAGAACUGGUAAUGAAUAAGAACACUGUGCUAACAGAAAGAGGAGAGCUGGAUGUUUUGAGGAAGGAUCUGAACAAAAAGAAAGAAGAGGUUGAAGCUGCCAUGAACAGCAUCACUAGAGAGAGAGAACAACUCAGUAAAAUGAAGACUGACAAUGAGAAAGAGAAAGAAAUGAUUUUAAUUGAAAAGGACAGAAUAGAAGUCCAAUGCUCUGAACUGAAGAUGAGACAAGAUCAACUCGUAAAUGAAAUGAAAUCAAUACAAACUCUGAGAAGGAAGCUUCAACAGCUUAACGAAAGGAUCAUUGAAGACAUGAAAAACAAAAUGGACAAUUUGCAACAAAGGUCUGAAGAUGUGCAAAUGCUGUACACUGUAUUGGAAGAAAAGGUGGCAGACCUUGAUGGUGAAAAAGAAAAAAUGGCUUAUUACACUGAGUUGUUAGAGAGAGAAAAGGAAGUUAUUGCAGGUAUACUGUCAGAUGUGGUCACCCAAAGACAGGACAUGGAAAAUCAGUGUAAGCAAGGGUUUGAGUUGGAAAAACAAGAUCUUGAAAAACUGAAAGCAGUGCUGAAGCAAGAGAGAGAGGAUCUGGAUAGAGUGCAUGAGAUCAUGACCAAAGAGAGACUGGAGCUAGAAACCAGUAAGAACAGUGUCCUUACAGAAAGAGGAGAACUGGAAGUUUUGGGGAAGGAUCUCAAAAAGAAGAAAGAAGAGGUCGACAUUGCCAUGAACAGCAUCAGUGGAGAGAGAGAACAACUCAGUAAAAUGAAGACUGACAAUGACAAAGAGAGAGAAGUACUUUUGAUUGAAAGCGACAGAAUAGAAGUUGAAAGGUCUGAGGUGAAAAUAAAAGAAGAUCAAGUCAUGAAGCAAAUGAAAUCAAUGGAAACUAUGAAAGUGAAGCUUCAGCGGCUGUACAAUAGGAUCAGUGAAGACAUGAAAAACAAAGUGGACAGUUUGCAACAAAACUGUGAAGGUGCGCAAAUUCUGUAUGCUACAUUGGAACAAAAGGUUGCAGCACUUGAUGGAGAAAAAGAAAAAUUGACUAAUUACACUGAGUUGUUAGAGAGAGAAAAGGAAGGUAUUGCAGGUAUACUGUCAGAUGUGGUAACCCAGAGACGGGACAUGGAAAAUCAGUGGAAGCAAGGGUUUGAGUUGGAAAAACAAGAUCUAGAAAAAGUGAAAGCAGUGCUGAAGCAAGAGAAAGG